AGCGAACGUUUGCGGCGGGCCUAACACAUGCAAGUCGAACGGGCUAGCAAUAGUCAGUGGCGCACGGGUGCGUAACACGUGGGUAAUCAACCCUUCAGCUCGGGAUAACGCCUUGAAAGGGGCGCUAAUACCGGGAUGCGACGCGAGGAGCCUCGGCGCUUCGCGGGAAAGAUUCGCAAGGAUCACUGAAGGACGAGCCUGCGGCCCAUCAGCUAGUUGGUGAGGUAAGAGCUCACCAAGGCGAAGACGGGUAGCUGGUCUGAGAGGAUGAUCAGCCACACUGGAACUGAGACACGGUCCAGACUCCUACGGGAGGCAGCAGUGGGGAAUAUUGCGCAAUGGGCGAAAGCCUGACGCAGCCAGCCGCGUGAGCGAUGAAGG
rnacentral:rRNA from 1 species